GCCCGCUAGAUGGCAGGGACGGCAGUUCCACCUUGCCGGAAACACACAGAUGACUAAACCAUCGCAGAUGCCUAAGUAAACCUUAGUAUUCUACGCCCAAGGUGACUACAGUCUCGGCAAAAUGUCGAGCAUAAAACAGGUGAUCAACGAUGCGGUGGAGAAAGGUAAGGAGGUGUACGAAAAAGUACGGCAGCCUAAUCCCAUCCGCCUACGGGAUCUGAUAAGGCAGAUUCGGUCAGCCAAGACUGCAGCAGAGGAGCGAGCAGUAGUAAACAGGGAAUGUGCAUACAUCCGCCUCACUUUCAGGGAAGAAGAUUCUGUAUGGCGAUGUAGAAAUGUUGCCAAACUUUUGUACAUACACAUGCUUGGGUAAGUUAUGUUGUCAUUUAAGCAAAUAUUACUUGCUCUUUUCAAAUGUCUGGAGGCCAAGAUUACUAAUGAAAGUACUUUAGGUGUAAAGUAUACUAAGUUAUACCAUAUAAGGCAUCUAUUUUUCCCCAUUUCUAAAGAAUGGCCAACAUCCACACUCAACCCUCGGCUAUCACGUCUAAAGUUGCACAGUAUAGCUGUGCUAUUGCCAAAAUAGGGAAUGCAAUGUUAACCCCCUCG